rnacentral:rRNA from 1 species
CCUACGGGUGGCAGCAGUGAGGAAUAUUGGUCAAUGGACGAGAGUCUGAACCAGCCAAGUAGCGUGAAGGAUGACUGCCCUAUGGGUUGUAAACCUCUUUUAUCAAGGAAUAAAACGCGGCACGUGUGCCUUUUUGCAUGUACUUUAUGAAUAAGCAUCGGCUAACUACGUGCCAGCAGCCGCGGUAAUACGGAGGAUCCGAGCGUUAUCCGGAUUUAUUGGGUUUAAAGGGAGCGUAGAUGGGUUGUUAAGUCAGUUGUGAAAGUGUGCGGCUCAACCGUAAAAUUGCAAUUGAUACUGGCAGUCUGGAGUACAGUAGAGGUAGGCGGAAUUCGUAGUGUAGCGGUGAAAUGCGUAGAUAUUACGAAGAACCCCGAUGGCGAAGGCAGCUUACUAAACUGUGACUGACAUUGAUGCUCGAAAGUGUGGGUAGCAAACAGGAUUAGAUACCCGAGUAGUC